rnacentral:rRNA from 1 species
UGGGGAAUUUUCCGUAAUGGGCGAAAGCCUGACGGAGCAAUGCCGCGUGGAGGUGGAAGGCCUACGGGUCGCCAACUUCUUUUCUCGGAGAAGAAACAAUGACGGUAUCUGAGGAAUAAGCAUCGGCUAACUCUGUGCCAG